GAUGAAGAACGCAGCGAAAUGCGAUACGUAAUGUGAAUUGCAGAAUUCAGUGAAUCAUCGAGUCUUUGAACGCACAUUGCGCCCCCUGGUAUUCCGGGGGGCAUGCCUGUCCGAGCGUCAUUGCUGCCCUCAAGCACGGCUUGUGUGUUGGGCCUCCGUCCUCCUCCCGGGGGACGGGCCCGAAAGGCAGCGGCGGCACCGCGUCCGGUCCUCGAGCGUAUGGGGCUUCGUCACACGCUCUUGUAGGCCCGGCCGGCGCUUGCCGACACAUCAAUCUUUUUUCCAGGUUGACCCCGGAUCAGGUAGGGAUACCCGCUGAACUUAAGCAUAUCAAUAAGCGGAGGA
rnacentral:misc_RNA from 1 species